ACUCGAAUAGUCCAAUGGUAAAGACACCUUGAAAUUAUAUCAUUCAUUGAACAGAAGGAGGCGGGGGUUCGAAUCCUCCUUUGGGUA